rnacentral:rRNA from 1 species
UACGUAGGGACCGAGCGUUGUCCGGAAUCAUUGGGCGUAAAGAGCUCGUAGGCGGUUUGUCGCGUCUGCCCGUGAAAGUCCGGGGCUCAACUCCGGAUCUGCGGUGGGUACGGGCAGGCUUGAGUUCGGUAGGGGAGACUGGAAUUCCUGGUGUAGCGGUGAAAUGCGCAGAUAUCAGGAGGAACACCGGUGGCGAAGGCGGGUCUCUGGGCCAUUACUGACGCUGAGGAGCGAAAGCGUGGGGAGCGAACAGG